CGAGGACAGCAACGGCCAAUCAGAGCGUGACGAGGGAGAGAGCGCCACUCACCACCAGGAAGUACGGCACUGAGCAGAGGAUAAUGGGUCAGUAGUGUUUGUCUCGUCCUACUUUAUUUAGACUGGCUAACACCGUUAACCUUUGACACCCCUACUCCCUGUAGAAGAGAUGAUGAGUUGCAGGUGCACUGUCUCUAGGGGAGGUGAGGCUGAAGGAACUGCCUGGCUUGAUCGCUAACCGAGCUCCCGUCAACCCCAUACAGGGAAUACUGGCCCUGCACAGAGGAUAGCAGUGGUACUACGGGAGGUACUCUAUAUAGACGUGAGGACAGGUGGGAGCCCCUAGUGGUGGAGACAAGAUGUGCAGAGCUGUAGUCUCGUGUUACCUGUAAAUAAAGGCUAGAAGAGCUGAAGCUAUGGCGAGUUCUCAACAUAGAAUCGUCUGUGAGAGGUGGGAGAAUGUGAAAGAGGCAACACUAAGGUGCUGAGCGAAAAAGUCUCAUUUCAGUUUCAUGUCUUCUAGUCUAGACGUUAUAUAUACACUAUAUAUACAAAGGUAUGUGGACACCACUUCAAAUUCGUGGAUCCGGCUAUUUCAGCCACACCCGUUGCUGGCAGGUGUAUAAAAUUGAGCACACAGCCAUGCAAUCUCCAUAGACAAACAUUGGUAGUAGAAUGGCCUUACUGAAGAGCUCAGUGACUGUCAACGUGGCACCAUCAUAGGAUGCUCCCAGUUUGUCAGUUUGUCAAAUUUCUGCUCUGUAAGUGCUGUUACUGUGAAGUGGAAACGUCUAGGAGCAACAACGGCUCUGCCGCAAAGUGGUAGGCCACACAAGCUCACAGAACAGGACCGCCGAGUGCUGAAGUGCGUAGCGCGUAAAACAUGUCUGCCGGGACAGGGGCUGAGAUUAAAAAUAAAAGAAUAUAGGACAAAACACACAUCACGACAAGAGAGACAACACAACACUACAUAAAGAGGGACCUAAGACAACAACAUAGCACGGCAGCAACACAUAACAUCACAGCAUGGUAGCAACACAACAUGGCAGCAGCACAAAACAUGGUACAAACAUUAUUGGGCGCAGACAACAGCACAAAGAACAAUAAAGUAGAGACAGCAAUACAUCACGCAAAGCAGCCACAACUGUCAGUAAGAGUCUUUGAAUGAAGAGAUUGAGAUAAAACUGUCCAGUUUGAGUGUUUGUUGCAGCUCGUUCCAGUCGCUAGCUGCAGCCAACUGAAAAGACAAGCGACCCAGGGAUGUGUGUGCUUUAGGGACCUUUAACAGAAUGUGACUGGCAGAAUGGGUGUUGUAUGUGGAGGAUGAGGGCUGCAGUAGAUAUCUCAGAUAAAGGGGAGUGCGGCCUAAGAGGGUUUUAUAAAUAAGCAUCAACCAGUGGGUCUUGCAACAGGUAUACAGAGAUGACCAGUUUACAGAGGAGUAUAGAGUGCAGUGAUGUGUCCUAUAAAGAGCAUUGGUGGAGCACCCUUACCUGCCGAUCUAUAAAUUACAUCUCCGUAAUCUAGCAUGGGUAGGAUGGUUAUCUGAAUCAGGGUUAGUUUGGCAGCUAGGGUGAAAGAGGAGCGAUUACGAUAGAGGAAACCAGGCCUAGACUUAACCUUAGCCUGCAGGUUUGAUAUGUACUGAGAGGACAGUGCACCGUCUAGCCAUACUCCCAAGUACUUCUAUGAGGUGACUACCUCAAUGUGCUACCAUAGUGCAAAUGUUAAAGUUUGGUGGAGGGGGAAUAAUGGUCUGGGGCUGUUUUUUAUGGUUCGGUCUAAGCCUCUUAGUUCCAGUGAAGGGAAAGCUUAACGCUACAGCAUACUAUUCUAUAUAGACCAUUCUAGAUGAUUCUGUGCUUACAACUUUGUGGCAACAGUUUGGGGAAGGCCCUUUCCUGGUGCAGCAUGACAAUGCCCGUGUACAAAGCAAGGUCCAUACAGAAAGGGUUUCUCGAGAUCGGUGUGGAAGAACUUGACUGGCCUGCACAGAGCCCUGACCUCAACCCCAUCGAACACCUUUGGGAUGAAUUGGAACGACGACUGCGAGCCAGGCCUAAUCGCUCAACAUCAGUGUUCAACCUCACUAAUGCUGCUGUGGCUGAAUGGACGCUAGUCCCCGCAGCAAUGUUCCAACGUCUAGUGGAAAGCCUUCCCAGAAGAGUGGAGGCUGUUGUAGCAGCAAAGGGGGGACCAACUUCAUAAUAACGCCCCUGAUUUUGGAAUGAGAUAUUCGACUAGCAGGUGUCCACAUUCUUUUGGUCACGUAGUGUAUCAGUAUAUAUCUGAAGUAUUUAUGUGUUUUUUUCUUUUUCUUUCUGUUGUGAUGAAAGGGAAGGAUACUUCAACAGCACUUGUAUUACUAGGACUAGUUAAGAUUACUUGUUGUGUGAACAGCAACGAAGUGAAACCAGAACCUGUGAAGGGCUCCCAAGCCUGUCCACCUGCCCUCUGUCAUUCUUGGACUGUCUUGUAUAUGGCUCAUGAUUUCGCUAUACCAUCAACAUGCUACGUUGUAAGUCUGUGGUGCCUUGAAUGAAUUGAAUGUGAAAUAAUGACCAGCAGUAUGAGUUUAAACUGGACCCCACAACAAAGUGAAUGUCUAAACUACCACCAAUAAUACAUUUGUUGGAGAAUGUAUUAAAUCAAUCAGGCUGAGCCAGUUUAUGAUUGUAUUCAAAAUGAAUUUAUUAUUGACCUAUUUUUGCUGUUGUAGUAAACACACAAACUAGAAAUGAACAACUGACAGUAUUUUGUAACAAUUUCUCUUGGAACACUUCAAAGCCAACAGAAUAAAAAAGAACUUAAUUUU